rnacentral:rRNA from 1 species
UACGUAGGGUCCGAGCGUUGUCCGGAAUUAUUGGGCGUAAAGGGCUCGUAGGCGGUCUGUUGCGUCGGGAGUGAAAACUUACAGCUUAACUGUGAGCGUGCUUCCGAUACGGGCAGACUUGAGGUAUUCAGGGGAGAACGGAAUUCCCGGUGUAGCGGUGAAAUGCGCAGAUAUCAGGAGGAACACCGGUGGCGAAGGCGGCAUCCUGGACCGGUAUUGACGCUGAGGAGCGAAAGCCAGGGGAGCAAACAGG